UCCUAGCCCAGAUGGAAACGGCAUCCUGUUGUGGCGGGGUUCGCCACAAGAGAUAAAGUGUACAGCUGGAUAAGGC
rnacentral:sRNA from 1 species